rnacentral:rRNA from 1 species
UACGUAGGGUGCGAGCGUUAAUCGGAAUCACUGGGCGUAAAGUGUGCGCAGGCGGCAGAGCAAGUCGAGUGUGAAAGCCCCGGGCUUAACUUGGGAAUUGCGCUCGAAACUACUUUGCUGGAGUGUGGCAGAGGAAGGUGGAAUUCCACGUGUAGCGGUGAAAUGCGUAGAGAUGUGGAGGAACACCAAUGGCGAAGGCAGCCUUCUGGGCCAACACUGACGCUGAGGAGCGAAAGCGUGGGGAGCGAACAGG